UGGGGGCUCGAAGACGAUCAG
rnacentral:siRNA from 1 species